rnacentral:rRNA from 1 species
GACGAACCGUGCGAACGUUGUUCGGAUUCACUGGGCUUAAAGGGCGCGUAGGCGGACUCGCAAGUCUGUGGUGAAAGCCCCCAGCUCAACUGGGGAAGUGCCGUGGAUACUGCAAGUCUGGAGGAGGGUAGGGGCAUCUGGAACGCUGGGUGGAGCGGUGAAAUGCGUUGAUAUCCAGCGGAACUCCGGUGGCGAAGGCGAGGUGCUGGACCCUUUCUGACGCUGAGUGCGCGAAAGCCAGGGGAGCAAAGCGGGG